UACCCGCAGCACAAGUGGUGGUCAUUAUUAUUGGGCCUAAAGCGUCCGUAGCUGGCUUGUUAGAUGCCUGGGUAAAUCGAUGCGCUCAACGCAUCGAACUCCGGGUAGACCGGCAAGCUUGGGACCGGGAGAGGCGUGAGCUACUCGAGGGGUAGGGGUAAAAUCCUGUAAUCCCUCGGGGAGGACCAGUGGCGAAGGCGUCACGCUAGAACGUCUCCGACAGUGAGGGACGAAGCCCUGGGGCGCAAACCGG
rnacentral:rRNA from 1 species